GGAAAAAGAAGCGAAUUUGUAUAAAACUGUAUAUUUAUGCGUGUUUUAUUUUUCCUUUCUGAUCUAUCUGCCUCUUCCUCUCUCUAUUAUUAAAGGAAGAAAUGCCCCUGGAAAGCCAAUGAGAGAGGUUAGUGAGACUCGGGCUCACAGCCAUGGCUUCUGUCUGUCUCAUCCUGCUUUCUGUGUCUGGCUUUUGUGUAAGAACUGUGUGUGUGCGCACGCGCAUGUGUGUAUUACACAUUCUGUCAUCAUGUGAGGAUGGAAGCCACCUGUCUACUUGCAACUCAUGAGGAGAAUUCCUCAAAUGUUCAUUGCUGUUGUCAUCUCCAUGACGACAACAGCAGGAGUGGGGGGAACUGAAGUCUCUCAAAUAUGGCAAUCCUUUCUAAUCCCUAGGUUGGAACCUUGCAGUUUGCAUCUGUUGCCAUCUGCAACACAAACAGAAUAUUCAAAAUAAGUGUCACCUUGAACAUUAUUGAUGAGUCAUAAAGCUUCCGUCCAUUUCCGGGACCUGAGCAUUUUCUGCCAGGGUCUUUGGGUGUUAUUCUUCUGAGAUGAUUACUUCCUUUUAUUUUGUUUUGCUUUUCCCCUCUUUUCCUGGUUCCUA
rnacentral:lncRNA from 1 species